UUUUAUGACACUUCUGUCAUUUUAUCAUGUUAAAAAUUAUCAUUUCUAUUAUAUUUUGGUCCAAAAAAAGAAUGAUUUCAUGUUUGAAAUGUUAUUUUUACUUAAA